GGGAGAAAGCAGGGGAUCGAAAGACCUUGCGCUUUUGGAGCGGCCGAUGUCUGAUUAGCUAGUUGGUGGGGUAAUGGCCUACCAAGGCAACGAUCAGUAGUUGGUCUGAGAGGAUGGCCAACCACACUGGGACUGAGACACGGCCCAGACUCCUACGGGAGGCAGCAGUGGGGAAUUUUGGACAAUGGGGGAAACCCUGAUCCAGCAAUGCCGCGUGAGUGAAGAAGGCCUUCGGGUUGUAAAGCUCUUUCAGUUGAGAAGAAAAGGUUGUGACUAAUAAUCAUAAUUUAUGACGGUAUCAACAGAAGAAGCACCGGCUAACUACGUGCCAGCAGCCGCGGUAAUACGUAGGGUGCAAGCGUUAAUCGGAAUUACUGGGCGUAAAGGGUGCGCAGGCGGUUAUGUAAGUCAGAUGUGAAAUCCCCGGGCUCAACCUGGGAAUGGCGUUGAAACACAAAGCAGAAGGCGAU
rnacentral:rRNA from 1 species